ACCAGCGUGGCGCAGUGGUUUGAGCACUGGAGUACAACUCUGGAGACAGGGGUUCAAAUCCCUGCUUAGCCU